GAUGAACGCUGGCGGCGUGCCUAAUACAUGCAUGUCGAGCGAGCAGAUGAGGAGCUUGCUCCUCUGACGUUAGCGGCGGACGGGUGAGUAACACGUGGAUAACCUACCUAUAAGACUGGGAUAACUUCGGGAAACCGGAGCUAAUACCGGAUAAUAUAUUGAACCGCAUGGUUCAAUAGUGAAAGACGGUUUUGCUGUCACUUAUAGAUGGAUCCGCGCCGCAUUAGCUAGUUGGUAAGGUAACGGCUUACCAAGGCAACGAUGCGUAGCCGACCUGAGAGGGUGAUCGGCCACACUGGAACUGAGACACGGUCCAGACUCCUACGGGAGGCAGCAGUAGGGAAUCUUCCGCAAUGGGCGAAAGCCUGACGGAGCAACGCCGCGUGAGUGAUGAAGGUCUUCGGAUCGUAAAACUCUGUUAUUAGGGAAGAACAAAUGUGUAAGUAACUAUGCACGUCUUGACGGUACCUAAUCAGAAAGCCACGGCUAACUACGUG
rnacentral:rRNA from 1 species